rnacentral:tRNA from 1 species
GCCCAGGGGGUGAAAUUGGUAGACACGCCAGCUUCAGGUGCUGGUGAUCGCCCAGUCGUGGAAGUUCGAGUCUUCUCCUGGGCACCA